GACGAACGCUGGCGGCGCGCUUAACACAUGCAAGUCGAGCGAGAACCAGACCUUCGGGUCUGGGGACAGCGGCGAACGGGUGAGUAACACGUGGGUAAUCAACCCUCGAUACUGGGAUAGCCCGGGGAAACCCGGAUUAAUACCGGAUAGCCCUUCGGAUCUUCGGAUCUGACGGAAAAGGUAGCUUCGGCCUCCGAUCGAGGACGAACCCGCGGCGGA
rnacentral:rRNA from 1 species